AAUAGAUACCCGGGUAGUCCACGCCGUAAACGUUGGAUACUAGGUGUGGCGGUCUUACCAACGACUGCCGUGCCGAAGCUAACGCAUUAAGUAUCCCGCCUGGGGAGUACGGCCGCAAGGCUAAAACUCAAAGGAAUUGACGGGUCCCCGCACAAGCGGCGGAGCAUGCGGCUUAAUUCGAUGCAACCCGAAGAACCUUACCUGGGUUUGACAUCACGGGAAAAGCUGUAGAAAUACAGUGUCCAUUAGGGCCCGUGACAGGUGGUGCAUGGCUGUCGUCAGCUCGUGUCGUGAGAUGUUGGGUUAAGUCCCGCAACGAGCGCAACCCUUGUCCUAUGUUGCCAGCGGUUCGGCCGGGGACUCAUAGGAGACUGCCGGGGAUAACUCGGAGGAAGGUGAGGACGACGUCAAGGUCAUCAUGCCCCUUAUAUCCAGGGCUGCACGCAUGCUACAAUGGCCGGUACAACGGGCAGCGAUCCCGCGAGGGUGAGCGAAUCCUAAAAAGCCGGUCCUAGAUCGGAUUGAAGUCUGCAACUCGACUU
rnacentral:rRNA from 1 species